rnacentral:misc_RNA from 1 species
AAGUCGUAACAAGGUUUCCGUAGGUGAACCUGCGGAAGGAUCAUUACCAAAAAAUCCAAUUACCAACCCCUUUUUGUGAACUUUCAGAAUGUAUUUGGGAGAUGUUUGGGUCUGGAGAGGUAUCCCCUCUUCCUUCACAAAGCUCCCAAUUUUUUUAUUAACCACUUGGCCUUUGUUGGUGGGACUAAAGGGGCAACUCUUUUAUUCUACUUAUUGGGGGUUCAAUACCAAUUUCUUUUUUUUAUUACAUAAACAAAAAUUUAAAAGUUUAAAAAACAACUUUUAACGGUGGAUCUCUUGGCUCGU